UGGCUGAGCUGCUGAGGUGCUCUUCAGUAGCAGUCAAAGUUGAGGUAGACAGAGUGUGAAGUUGAGAUGAAGUGGUUGAAGAGGCCGGACCACUUUGGUCACUGGGAGCAAAUGAUGGAGAUGGAGAUAUUGAAGCCCCUUGCGUAGGAGCGCAUGAUGGCCACAAGAGGGCGCUCUUCCGAGAAAAAAACAACAACAACACACUUUCGUGGCGCGCCCCAGUCAUUUUGCGCCCUAGGCAACUGACUAUUGUCGCCUAUGCCACGGCCCUGGCUGAGUGCUCAUGUCUGCUUGAAUGUUGAAAGCCCAUUUUCUAAUGCAUUCCCUCUCGUUUUUUGAUGAAUUCUUAGAUCAACAGUUCCUGUUCCAUCAACAAUCCCCUGCUGGUAGAUGUCGUAACUACACCAUUACUCAGCGGACAGGUGACAACUUUGUGGGCGGAAGUUCUGAUGCUCAUUUUCCCCUCUGUGAGUGUUCAUAAAAGUGCGAGUUGUGGUGAGCCGAGAUAAUACGCAUCAGACUCACAAGAGAAGAUGAGGUGUGCUUCUGUAACCCUUCUGCUGUGCCUGGCUACAAUACUGCUCGCUCAAGUCACCUGCCAAAUAAACGGCCGGUCAAGUUGCCUUUGUCUCAAGACAUCAAAUCGGGUUCCCCGCAAGGAAAAUAUUGAAAGUUACAUGAUACAGAAUGCAGGCGCCUGCCAUAUUGAUGCCAUUUUAUUUAAAACUGUCAAAGGUCGUUUCAUUUGCGCUGAUCCUAAAAACCUUUUGGCAAUAAAUGCCAGGAAAUAUUUGGACAGCAAGAAGAAGGCAGCUGAAACAACAGACCGUCCCGUAAACUCUGCAUCAACAUUUAAAUCAGCAUCGAUGCUGAAUACCACACCAUAAUGGAAUAUAACGGGAUGAACUAAGAACUACUUCACUUGAACUGUGCAAUUUUUUUUUUUUUUUUUUACAUAUGUCUGUGAUGUUUGUGUUGGAUUUUAUUUUAUUUGCACAUG